rnacentral:rRNA from 1 species
GACGAACGCUGGCGGCGUGCUUAACACAUGCAAGUCGAACGGUGAAGGGGAGCUUGCUCCCCGGAUCAGUGGCGAACGGGUGAGUAACACGUGGGCAACCUGCCCCAGACUGCGGGAUAACGCUUCGAAAGAGGGGCUAAUACCGGAUACGAACUCCUUGGGCAUCCUGGGCGUUGGAAAGGUCUUCGGUCUGGGAUGGGCCCGCGGCCUAUCAGCUAGGUGGUGAGGUAACGGCUCACCAAGGCGACGACGGGUAGCCGGCCUGAGAGGGCGACCGGCCACACUUGGACUGACACACGGCCCAGACUCCUACCGGCGGCAGCAGUGGGGAAUAUUGCGCAAGGGGCGAAAGCCUGACGCAGCAACGCCGCGUGAGGGAUGGCGGCCUUCGGGUUGUAAACCUCUUUCAGCAGGGAAGAAGCGAAAGUGACGGUACCUGCAGAAGAAGCACCGGCUAACUACGUGCCAGCCGCCGCCGUAAGAC